GACGAACGCUGGCGGCGUGCUUAACACAUGCAAGUCGAACGGAAAGGCCCUGCUUUUGUGGGGUGCUCGAGUGGCGAACGGGUGAGUAACACGUGAGUAACCUGCCCUUGACUUUGGGAUAACUUUAGGAAACUGGGGCUAAUACCGGAAAGGAGCUCCUGCUGCAUGGUGGGGGCUGGAAAGUUUCGGCGGGUGGGGAUGUACUCGCGGCUUAUCAGCUUGUUGGUGGGGUGGUGGCUUACGAAGGCGUUGACGGGUAGCCGGCCUGAGAGGUGGACCGGCGACAUGGGGACGAAGACACGGCCCAGAAUCCUACGGGAGGCAUCAGUGGGGAAUGUUACACAGUGGGCGGAAGCCUGAUGCAGCAACGCCGGGUGCGGGAUGACGGCCUUCGGGUUGUAAACCGCUUUCGCCUGUGACGAAGCGUGAGUGACGGGAAUGGGUAAAGAAGCACCGGCUAACUACGUG
rnacentral:rRNA from 1 species